UUUGGUGCUUGCUUGGCCUCUUGGCUGAGCGGGUGGCUUUUAGCCGAGCGGUCUUCGGGGAUGAUCUCCGUAAAGGUGCAUGAGUGGUGUUUGGUUUGUUGCGGAUGGUUGGAUGUCUGCUUGCGCAGCAACUUUCAUGCGGGCUUACCUCUUCAAUUGUCCUACAAUCCUUGUUUGGCUUGCAGCAUUCGGUGGGUUUCUUGUGUUGAUUACCUAAUCGAUGGCAUUGUUUGUCCCCAUUAGUUGGAUUUUGUAACACGUUGCUUGCGGCGUGAUACAAACAAUGAAGCAACCUUUGUUGUUCAACCUGUUGCUGCUCAUGCAUCGAUGGUUUGGCCCAUGAAGUGUUGAUUGGUCCCUUGGAUAUGGAACAUGAUGUG
rnacentral:misc_RNA from 1 species